ACCUCUCGUAGGGAGCUCGGGAUGCGCGAGACGUGGCAGCGCUGCAGCCCAAUGGGUGGAGUAGGGUUCUGGAGUCUAGCAGCGGAACUAGGCGCUCGAUCUCGCGGCUUCAGAUACGAGUGCGUGUUUUUCUAGCCGCUCGGGGAAAGUCAGAAAGUGGCGACCAGCGGGGUAGGUAGGUUCUCGGAAGGAAGAGUUGACCUGAGAGCCCUCGACCUAAGAUGGAUUUCCGUAAGCUUCAGCGUUGUGUCACAGUGCCCCUGGGAUAACCUGUUUUCUAGAAGAACAGGUAAGAAAAUUGAGUCAUAUGGAAAGAUGAAUGAUGCUUUUGGAUGAGAAGAUGCAAUAUAACGAUCUCAAUUUUCUGCCCAUGGGGGAAAAAAAAUGCAACUAUCUGCUGCAUUGAAAACUGGCAGAAGCCUUGCAGAAAACAAAAUAAGAGGAACAAAAAUGUCUGUAUUCCAUUUACAAUCUACCCCUGGAAAUUUAUCCUUAGAAAAUAAUCCCAAAGGAAAAAAGUUAUGCGUCAAGAUACCGAUAACAAAGAGCUAAAAAGUUUAACAAAGGAGAAAUGAUUAAGGAAAUAAUCAGCUUAUGGAUUAGUAAGUACAUUUUUCUUUUUAAAAAAUUUUAUUUAUUUUUUAAUUGAAGGAUAAUUGCUUUAUAGAAUUUUAUUGUUUUCUGUCAAACCUCAGCAUGAAUCAGUCAUAGGUAUACAUAAUAAUGACAGUGAAAACUAAGGAACAGUGUAAAAUAGUGGGAAAACCCCUGAUCUCAAAGUCAGGUAACUGGAUUAAGUCAUCACAUACCAUUUGAGGGACCUUGGGUGAGUUACUUAGGUUCUCUGAGUCUCUUUUUUUCUCAAAAAGAAAAAAAGAUUACUCCUCUGUGUAUAAGAUAAGGUUUCAGAGGAUUUGCAUUCCCACUGUAUGUCAAUAGUAACACUUUAUUUCAUGGUUAGGCAUGGCCGUGAGGCCUGCAUGAGCCAAUGACCAAGAACGUCUAUGGUGUGUGUCACUUCAGAGCAUUUACUCAGCAGUGUGAGGCUCCAGCCCUUUCUCCCUCUGUGUGAUGGUGACCAUCAGGAGAAAGUAAAAGUUAACAGGGUGGGCCAAGGCCGAGCUGUCACAGGGAGGACAGUUGCCCAGAGGCAGAGACGACUUUGUGAGGAGUGAGGAAUGAACUGUUGUUUUCUUAAGCCACGGAGAUUUGGUUAGUGCCAAACACAGGGGGCCUAUCCAGAUGAUGCGCGUAACCUCACCAGUCUGCUUAUUACCACUUUCCCCACAGGAUCUGAAACAGUGCCUGGCACAAAACCAAAUCUCAAGAAAUGUUUGUAGAAUGACUGUUGUCCCAAGGGUUAGGCUUUCUUUGAGGCUUUAGUAUGUAGAUAACCCUUAUCCAGCACCAGUGAUGAAGAACUUUACAGAUGCCUGAAGUUGUUAUGGGUUACUCUGUCCCACAAAAAUUCAUAUUUUGAAUUCUUAACACCCAGUCCUCAGAAUGUGACCUAUUUUGGAAAUAGGAUCAUGAUAGGUGUAAUUAGUUCAGAUGUGGUCAUACUGGAGUCGAGUGGGUACCUAACCCAACAUGACUAACGUUUUUUUUUUUUUUGGUGUGCCAUGUAGCUUACAGGAUCUUAGUUCCUCAAGCAGGGAUUGAACCUGGGCCCACAACAUCAAAAGCGCCAAGUCCUAACCACUGGCCCGCCAGUGAAGUCCCCUGAUGUUCUUAUAGAAGGGGAAAUUUGGAAAUAAGCAGAGAGGGAGAAUGCCUUGUCAAGAUUAGGGUUAUGCCGCCACAAGCCAGGAACUACCAAAAGCAGGGAGAGGCCUGGAAUAACUCCUCCCCAGGGAGCACAGGCCUGCAGAUACCUGGAUCUCAGACUUCCAGCUUCCAGGACAGUAAGACAAAACAUUUCUGUCGUUUAGCCCAUCCAGUUUGUGGUACCUGGUUACUGCAGCCCCAGUAAGCAAGGACAAGAGUAUUUUGCAUUUCCUUACUUGACCAGAGGAGUGAAAGCUUUCUACAGAGGCGCUCAUAACAGAACUGUUGUUGACAUUCCUUCUGACUAGUGUUCUGUCCCUUGUGUCCCUUCCUUCCCAUAAAUUGGGGUGGGUGAUUUCCUAUUUAUUGGACCAAUACUUGUGAAGUCCCCUACUUUGUAUCGUCUUUGAUUAGAAAACAAUUUUUCUCUUAACAAAUCACUCAGAAACCACAUGACUGAGGCAGCAUUUAGAAACAAUUUAUAAAAGAAUAAGAGAAAUGCUACUAAAGUCUGAAUGCUGAUGUUUCUGAUUCUGGUCCAGACAAUAAGACAUAGACCUGUUUUUCCCUGCUUCUUCUGCUAAGCACAGCUAACAGCCCUGUAGAUAGCGAGACACAACCAAAGAACUCUGAAAGGUGCUAAGAAGGCUUGCUGGUUUGGAAGCCCAGGACUGGAGAACAGCGGUGACGGCACAUACAGUCCCACCACCCAACACGGGGAGAGCCCUUCUCAAACCCCAGCCUCGCAACAGAAGGCGGCCCAGACAGGCUCACACCCCCGCCUGCACCCGCAGAGAACGGGGGUCCCCCUGGUGGGCAUGCCACCACCUGGCAAGGGGGUCACUGGCAACCCAGGUGGAAAGAAACAGCCAGGGAGGCACUCUCCUUCCCCACAAGGCCUGAGACUCCCCUUUCCACCAAGAGUUACCAAGGUAUGUGGGUGGACUGAGCCAGAGGGAGAAAUCCAGUCAUAAUGGGUAUACCAGUUCAGGAAGCUUCUUUAUCCCUGGAGCCUAAGACUCUCCUCCUUCACCAGUAGAUACUUAGCCCUCUCAGGCAGCACCAGCAGGAACCAACAGAAACCCUACUGGCCGCAGAUAAACCAAGCUGACCAAAAUAACACUGCAAAGCUGCUGAAAAUUAAACUGCCAUUGAAAUCACAGUCCACAAAAAGUAGGCCAAGACCCAUGUGCUAACUCUAAAUAGGGUGAUGCUUACUAAAAAUAAAAAGAUUUAAAUGGGUCCUAGCAUCUCCUAACAUAAUAGACAAAAUGCCUAGGAUAUUAUUAAUAGUCACACAUCAUACCAACAACCAGGAAAAUCACAAGUUGAAUGAGAAAAGAGUCAAUGGAUGCCAAUUCUGAGAUGAAUCUUGACAAAGAUUUUAAAGCAGUCAUCUUAAAGCUGCGACUAGAUUGCCAAUUAGAAAUUCUCUUGAAAUAAGUUAAAAAAAUAAAAACUCCCUGCAAUGAAAUAGAAGUUAUAAAAAAGAACCAAAUGGGCAUCACAGAACUGAAAAAUACUAUAACAAAAGAAAAACUUGCUGGCUAGGUUCACUGUUAAGAUUGGAGAAGACAAAAGAUAGAUUCAGUGAACUUGAGGAUGGAAUAAUAGGACUGACCUGAAAGAGAAAGAAAAAUAGACUGGGAGAAAAACAAGAGCCUACAUGCCUGUGGGACAAUAACAAAAGAUCCAAUGUUCAUAUUAUCAGAGUCUCAGAGAGGCAAGUGUGGCUUGGGCUGAAAGAGUAUUUGAAGAAAUAUAGUUGGAAAAUCCCCAAAUUUGAUAAAAGACACAAACUUCCAGACCAAAUCCCAAACAGGAUAAAGCAGUAACAAAGCAGUAAUUAGCUUAAAUCUAAAUGGUCUAUCAAUUAAAAGACAAAGAUUGGAUAAAAAUGCAACUCAAUUAUAUGUUACUUAUAAGAAACUCACUUCAAAUUGAACAUAUAUAGGUUGAAAGUAAAAGAAUAGAAAAAGAUAUAACAUGCAAACAGCCAGAAACAAGGAGUGACUAUGUCAGUGUCUGAUAAAGUAGAUUAUGGAGCAAAGAAAAUUACUACAGACAAAGAGGAACAUUACACAAUAAUAGAAGGAUUAACCCACCAGCAAGACAAAGACCCUAAAUGUGUACACACCAAACAGCAGAGCCUCAAAAUACAUGAAAAAGCUGAUCGAGCUGAAAGGUAAAACAGACAGAUCCAUAGAUGUAAUUGAAGACUUCAGUACCUCCCUUUCAAUAAUUGAUAAAACUAGAAGAAAACCAGCAAGGAUACAGAAGAUCUGAAAAAUACUACCAAUCAACAGGAUUUAGUUAAAUAGAAUAUUCCACUCAAUACCAAA